rnacentral:rRNA from 1 species
AUUGAACGCUGGCGGCAUGCCUAACACAUGCAAGUCGAACGGCAGCACAGGGUAGCUUGCUAUCCGGGUGGCGAGUGGCGGACGGGUGAGUAACGCGUAGGAAUCUACCUUUUCGGGGGGAAUAACCCGGGAAAACCCGGGCUAAUACCGCAUACCCCCCGGGGGGAAAAGCGGGGGACCUUCGGGCCUCGCGUGAAAAGAUGAGCCUGCGUCCUAUCAGGUUGUUGGUGGGGUAAUGGCCUACCAAGCCUACAACGGGUAGCUGGUCUGAAAGGACGGCCAGCCACACUGGGACUGAAACACGGCCCAAACUCCUACGGGAGGCAGCAGUGGGGAAUAUUGGACAAUGGGGGAAACCCUGAUCCAGCAAUGCCGCGUGUGUGAAGAAGGCCUUCGGGUUGUAAAGCACUUUUGGCAGGGAAAAAAUGCCACGAGUUAAUACCUUGUGGUUUUGACGUCACCUGCAAAAUAAGCACCGGCUAACUCCGUG